GGAAGCUCCCAGCGAGAGAAAUACCUAGGCAACAGAGCAUUUUAAAGGUCCAGUUCCCCGCCAAAAGGAUGAGCAGCAAAAAUGACGGUGCUGGACAAACAAGGUGUGCUAUACCAGAAAAAGACAUUGCGGCUCCAGAAAUAAGAUGAGCACAACUACACAAAAAAAGGAUGUGCUACACCUGAUCGCGGUCCCUGCUGGAGCUGCACCCGAGUCUGGGCUCGACUGAGCAGGAAGGUCCAGUUGGGGAUCCAGAGAAAGAAGCCACAGCUCACACUGAAUCCAAACUGCACCCCCAGCCCCAUUUCUGUCCGGUACACAAGGUACGUAUGGAACGCGCCUUUCUCUCUGUUUUUCUGUGGCU
rnacentral:lncRNA from 1 species